rnacentral:lncRNA from 1 species
CUAUUCGCUGCUUGCUUUACGGGAUGAGUCUGGAUUUUCAAUCACUGAUUGUGUGGAGGGAGCAGCCCGCCUCCUCCUACCGGGAAGCAGGCUCCUCC